AGAUUGAACGCUGGCGGCAGGCCUAACACAUGCAAGUCGAGCGGUAGAGAGGUGCUUGCAUCUCUUGAGAGCGGCGGACGGGUGAGUAAUGCCUAGGAAUCUGCCUAGUGGUGGGGGAUAACGUUCGGAAACGGACGCUAAUACCGCAUACGUCCUACGGGAGAAAGCGGGGGACCUUCGGGCCUCGCGCCAUUAGAUGAGCCUAGGUCGGAUUAGCUAGUUGGUGAGGUAAUGGCUCACCAAGGCGACGAUCCGUAACUGGUCUGAGAGGAUGAUCAGUCACACUGGAACUGAGACACGGUCCAGACUCCUACGGGAGCAGCAGUGGGAAUAUGGACAAGUGGGACGAAAGCCUGAUCCAGCCAUGCCGCGUGUGUAGAA
rnacentral:rRNA from 1 species